AUUGAACGCUGGCGGCAUGCCUUACACAUGCAAGUCGAACGGCAGCGGGGACUUCGGUCCGCCGGCGAGUGGCGAACGGGUGAGUAAUGUAUCGGAACGUACCAUUGAGUGGGGGAUAACGUAGCGAAGGUUACGCUAAUACCGCAUAUUCUCUCCGGAGGAAAGCAGGGGACCGCAAGGCCUUGCGCUCUUUGAGCGGCCGAUAUCAGAUUAGCUAGUUGGUGGGGUAAAAGCUCACCAAGGCGACGAUCUGUAGCGGGUCUGAGAGGAUGAUCCGCCACACUGGAACUGAGACACGGUCCAGACUCCUACGGGAGGCAGCAGUGGGGAAUUUUGGACAAUGGGGGCAACCCUGAUCCAGCCAUGCCGCGUGAGUGAAGAAGGCCUUCGGGUUGUAAAGCUCUUUCGGCCGGGAAAAAAUCGCAUGGGUUAAUACCCUGUGUGGAUGAUGGUACCGGAAUAAGAAGCACCGGCUAACUACGUGCCAGCCGCCGCCGUAAUAC
rnacentral:rRNA from 1 species